rnacentral:rRNA from 1 species
CCUACGGGAGGCAGCAGUGGGGAAUAUUGGGCAAUGGAGGCAACUCUGACCCAGCAACGCCGCGUGAAUGAUGAAGGUCUUCGGAUUGUAAAGUUCUGUGAUGGGGGAUGAACACAAUGACGGUACCCCAAUAGCAAGCCACGGCUAACUACGUGCCAGCAGCCGCGGUAAUACGUAGGUGGCAAGCGUUAUCCGGAAUGACUGGGCGUAAAGGGUGCGUAGGGGGUUUAGUAAGUUGGCGGUGUAAUUCCGGGGCUCAACCUCGGCGCUACCGCCAAAACUAUUAGACUAGAGUGCAGGAGGGGUAAGUGGAAUUCCUAGUGUAGCGGUGGAAUGCGUAGAUAUUAGGAGGAACAUCAGGGGCGAAGGCGACGAUCUGGGAAGAAACAGACGCUGAGUCCCGAAAGCGUGGGGAGCAAAUAGGAUUAGAUACCCUAGUAGUC